AUGGAUGGUAAAGACGGGUUCCAGUUGGUAUGGAUGGUAAAGACGGGUUCCAGUUGGUAUGGAUGGUUCCAGUUGGUAUGGAUGGAAAGACAGGUUCCAGUUGGUAUGGAUGGUAAAGACAGGUUCCAGUUGGUAUGGAUGGUAAAGACAGGUUCCAGUUGGUAUGGAUGGUAAAGACAGGUUCCAGUUGAUAUGGAUGGUAAAGACAGGUUCCAGUUGGUAUGGGAUGGUUCAGUUGAUAUGGAUGGUAAAGACAGGUUCCAGUUGGUAUGGAUGGUGUCCAUUUGGUAGGAUGGUAAGACAUUGGUAGGAUGGUAAAGACAGGUUCAGUUGUAUGGUGGUAAGACGGUUCCAGUUGGUAUGGAUGGUUCCAGUUGGUUGGUGGUAAGACAGGUUCCAGUUGUUUGUUGGUUCCAGUGGUAUGGAUGGUAAAGACAGGUUCCAGUUGGUAUGGAUGGUUCCAGUUGGUAUGGAUGGUAAAGCAGGUUCCAGUUGGUAUGGAGGUAAAGACGGUUCCGGUUGAUAUGGUGGUAAAGACAGUUCGCAUUGAUAUGGAUGGUAAGACAGGUUCCAGUUGGUAUGGAUGGUAAAGACAGGUUCCAGUUGAUAUGGAUGGUAAAGACAGGUUCCGUUGAUAUGGAUGGUAAAACAGGUUCCAGUUGAUAUUGGGUAAAGACAGGUCCAGUUGAUAUAUAUUUGGUAAAGGACAGGUUCCAGUUGGUAUGGAUGGGUAAAAAAAAGAAAGUACAAGCAUCGGCAUCUAUCUAGCAGGCUACAUACAGCGCAUUCGGGAAAAGUAUUCAGACCCCUUGACUUUUUCCACAUUUUUGUUACGUUACAGCCUUAUUCUAAAAUGGAUUACAUCGGGUUUUUUUGUCAUCAAUCUACUCACACAAUAUCCCAUUAUGUCAUCACAAUACCCCCAUAAUGACAAAGCAAAAACAGGUUUUGGGGAAUUUGUUAUCAAAUUUAUCAAAUUUAAAUAAAAAAAUGGAAAUACCACAUUUACACAAGUAAUUCAGACACUUUACUCAGUACUUUGUUGAAGCACCUCUGGCAGCGAUUACA
rnacentral:lncRNA from 1 species